rnacentral:rRNA from 1 species
AUGAACACUGGCGGCGUGCCUAAUACAUGCCAGUCGAGCGAACAGACGAGGAGCUUGCUCCUCUGACGUUAGCGGCGGACGGGUGAGUAACCCGUGGAUAACCUACCUAUAAGACUGGGAUAACUUCGGGAAACCGGAGCUAAUACCGGAUAAUAUAUUGAACCGCAUGGUUCAAUAGUGAAAGACGGUUUUGCUGUCACUUAUAGAUGGAUCCGCGCCGCAUUAGCUAGUUGGUAAGGUAACGGCUUACCAAGGCGACGAUGCGUAGCCGACCUGAGAGGGUGAUCGGCCACACUGGAACUGAGACACGGUCCAGACUCCUACGGGAGGCAGCAGUAGGGAAUCUUCCGCAAUGGGCGAAAGCCUGACGGAGCAACGCCGCGUGAGUGAUGAAGGUCUUCGGAUCGUAAAACUCUGUUAUUAGGGAAGAACAAAUGUGUAAGUAACUAUGCACGUCUUGACGGUACCUAAUCAGAAAGCCACGGCUAACUACGUG